UCAUUUAAAAAAGCCUUAGAUGAGAUGAGAUUUUUGCUUUCGAAUAAUCUAUGAGUGAGAGGUCGACGAUGAUGCUCCUUGAUUCUCCGAUUGAUUUGAAUUGUUCAAGAACUGACCAGUUGCGCCGAUGUAUAAUCUGGAUCUCAUUGGCCACUUCUGUGAAAACAAAACGGGGAAAAUAUAAAUUAGUGCGGCUAAUGCUAUGGUUCAAACGUGCACAUUAGGGCUAGGCCUAGCCUGUUAAAAAUCUCGUUUUUAAGCCUAUUUAUUGUGAUGUGUAGACCGCAUAGCAUCUGCAAAAAUGAGAUGACUCAACAUUUUCUUAUCAAUUUUAUGUGUCUGUAGGCAAUUCAUAUGUUAAGAAAAAAUGUUAAAUCACGUAGCCUAUUAUACAAUUCGUUACAAUCAUCACUAUUCAAUAAUAUUAUGCUUAAUUAAGACAAUUCAUCGGCCUAAGUCAAAAGCCAAACGGUAGAAAGAAGUGUUCGGGUGAGAUGGGCAAUGUAUGUGGUAGCCAAAAUCAACACAUCGAGUUUAGAUAGUUUGGUAUCCGGUGGCACCGAUGGAAGAGUCCUCUGUAGUUCCAGGAAGGCAUGUCUCAGGGUUUGCACUCUACUCCUUUCCCGGGCAGCAUUGGCUGCUGCCGGGCGGCCUUUCCCACCACCAAGCCCACCGGCCUGGACCACCCUGGAACGUAGUGCCUCCGGACGACUGGGACUGGAGCUGGGGCUAGAUGUGGGACUCUCAUCCAUAUCUGUCACUGGGACAUUUCCACUAUCCAUGCGGCUCGUCUGUCUUCCAACCAUUGAGAGUACUUACAAACCUGAACGAAGAGUUUCAAGGGAGCAGGUCAGAUUCUGAUGUGCAGAGGCAGCAGUGGCAGUCUCCAGGCCAUGUGUGUCAAGUCCAUGGGUCAGACAUGAAGAAGUUGUCUGUGUGUAUAUGAGUGUGUUUAGUAAAGCUGGCAAGUCAAGUGGCUGCAGAGUCGGCCAUGUCACCAAGUAGUGCUGCGCUCACAGGGACCGUUAUGCUGUGCGCACUACCAAGGAAGAAGGAGAUGGUUAUCAAUGGGCUUCAAGGAGCGAGUAAUGCCUAAUAAUCUUUUUCCUUACAUAAUACAUACAGUCUUAUGAGCAUUUAUUUUUCACAUUUGGUAAGGAUGUUAUUGUGUAAAUAUUAAGUAUGAAACUCGUGUGGAACAUUUUCCAUUCAAUCUUGUUAUUGUAAUACAGUUACAGUUUAUUUACAUAAAGCCAGGCCCUCAUAGAGGAGAAAAUCUGUUUAUUUAAGUAAGAGAAUUUGACCAUCUAGGCCUUUUGUCCAACACAAAGCAUAAGAAAGGAAACAAAGAAUAUCAUUUGAAUCUUGU